CACUGCGAUUUCUAACAUACGCGAUUUCCUGCCCACCACUAAUACAAACACACAUGAGCCUGUCGUCUGCUAAAAAGCACGAAGAUUCCCACCGAAGGCGGUUAUGCAUCAUGUGGACGCACCUUCGUGAUAGAUCGCUGAACUUGGCCUUGGACGCAACGAUGUAAAAGUAUGUCCACAAAAUGCCUCUUUGCUCGUGAGCAAUUGCAAUUGCACGGGAAUAAUGGGGCAUGCACAAAAAUUUGUGGAAAGAACGCAUUGGCAUUCCCGUGUCCACAUGUUGCCUGAUUGCGCAAGCAGUCUGCCAUGGAUCCCACAGUUUGUUUGGGUGCUUGUGCUUUGUUUAUUGUGAUGAAAAGACGACAAGAAGAAAACACACAGGCGACUAUAGAAAUAGUUCAACCUGACUUUCUACAGUGAAUGAUGGUCUCACUGCAACAGCUAUCCAGCACUUAUGAGUUGUUGCUGGAAUGGAUGUCCAAUCUUGAACCACAAAAGGAAACCAUCCAAGAAAACUUUAAGAUCUUGCCACCAUCAUUUCUACCUUCCAACCAGAAUAGAGAAGCCUCGCCAAAUUAUAUUUCCCGACUGAAGAAACUUUCAAUCACGCACUGAUUAUCAGGUGAUGUCACACACAAAGCUAUUCUUACUGCAGAUAUUGGUGUGGAAGUGUUUAAACAAAUUCAAAAGAAAUAGAUCACAUGAUCAUUUCGUAUUCAGAAAUUAAAGUUAGUGUCACAUUUUGGAGCACAAGUGCGAUGAUGCUGUAGCCAGGGAUAAAUUUCUUGGAGGCUUUUAAGGAACCAAAUCAAGGUUAUCAGGUAACAAUGAAUGGAAACUACAAGACUUGACUAGAUAUUGCAAAUUUCUGUGUGAAAGUGACAUGUAACAAGUCUUACACUGCUUCUCUCAUUUGUAAUAUGCUUAUUAUGCACUCGCCUGAUAUUGCCUUUAAUAUGGGCACAUUAACAACCGCUAGUGUAAGCAGGUGCACUUCAAUAUGGAGACAGUUGUGUGCUUACAGUGCAUAAGCAGCCCACAUGGCCAAGCUCUGAAUACUUUUCUUUUGAAACUCACAAUGUUUUUAUGCUACAAAACAGAUCACAAAUCUGAAUUGGCUUUUGCCUGUUCUCAACUCACAAACAAAAUCAUUCCCAUCUUUUCCAAGGUCUUCCAGUAUCUCUUUUCCCAUUCAUUCUGUAGUUCAGGAUCUUAUGUUCUCAUGGAGUGUUGUCUCUGAUUUUCAUGAUACUGACAAAAGUUUUUCAUAACAAAAUUCAAAUGUUUACAAUGAACACGGGCAAUUUGGUAGAUUUUUGUGGACAAAAAAAUAAAGUGAAUGCUAUCUUUUUCAGUAAAUGACAAGGCUUUACCUGUGACACUGAAGAGUUAAUAAAGUGCCAUUGAAAUUUCAAACUGAUAAAGGCUCUGCAGUUUCUAUAGUUGAUCUACAGACAUACAAGAAAUUAGGCUCACCAAAGUUAACCGAGUUUCACAUUUUGGUAUUUAUCAACAGAGUAAUAUAUUCAUGUAAAGCAGCAGAUUUACUGGUUCUAACACACUAGUAUUCACAGUUCAUGAGGAGUGAAUGAGAUUCCCACUUACGUUCCUACUGGAAAGUUGCAAACAUCAUUGCAAAAAUAUGAUACAAUUUUUUUAGAGGCAACAAUAGCAUUGAAGGCUUCAAUAUGCACAUCAUUAUGAAGCCAAAUGCUAUGCCAAAAUUCUGCAAAACACAUAAUAUUCCAUUUGCAUUAAAGGACAAAGUGAAACAGGAGCUUGAGUAUCUGUAACAGAAUGGCAUUAUAGAAUCAAUUACUAGUAGCCGAAAGGCAACACCAGUUGUGGUAGUACAAAAACUGCAUGGCACAUUAUUGAUCUGUGGUGAUUUCAAAGUGACUCAGAGUACAAUCGGUUAAUAGAUUCCUAUCCAGUUCCAAAACUAGAAGAGUUAGUGUCUGAAUUAGCUGGCCGUGUAUGUAUAUUUUGCAAAACUUGAUUUGAAGGAAGCUACUUACAAAUACCUCUGGAUGAAGGAACACACAGAUUUUUGGAUAUAAAUACUCCAUUUGGAGUUUAACAGUACAUGAGAUUGCCAUUUGGGAUUGUCAGUGAACCAAGUUUGUUCCAGCAAUACUUGGAACUGUUAAUUAGGAAAUGUAGUAAUGCUGUGAACUACCUGGAUGACAUCAUUCUCUCAGGGAAAGGCUCCAGAAGGACUGUUAUGUAAUAUGGAAUGUGUCUUUAAGGUUUUAUGAGCAGCAAGUUUAAAGUGUAACAAAGAAAAGGACAUAGUAUUCUACUAGCAAGUCCAAUAUUUAGGACAAACCACAACACACCGAAACAAUGAAAAACUUGUGAGCUCGCAAAUAUCUUGAGUCCCUGAUUUCAAAAUUAAAUAGCUCGUAAACUAAGAUCAACAGAAGUGUGCUACAAAUGGUAUGGUUAUUGUGAAAGCUGUAAGAAUUUUAUACAGAAGUUUCAAAAUAGUUAAAAAAAAAUACUCAAUACAUAAUGUCUAUAAAUAGUGUACCACUGAUCAGAGCAAUCAGUUACACCAUUGAAAUGGUUGUUGUACCAGAGGAAAAGGUUGAAAUCAGUUGUCCAUUGAACAACAUCUUUCUUUGGUACUGGAAUACCACAGGUUAAAACACACUCCUAUAGCAACGAACCACAGUUUUAAAAUAAGAUUUAAUGAAAAUCAUUCACAAGCUCUUCACCAAAUUCCAACUGAAAGGAAGUGUGGCUGAUGAUCUAGCAGGGAAUAAUGACCCCACACAAACUGUCAUUAUCCCUGAAAAUGUUGCCAUGAUUUCUAGAAUUGUUUAGCAAAAUCCAAGGAGACCCAUCUAAAGAACUGCAGCAGAGACUGGUUUGAAGCAUUUAGCACACACAAAAUACUGAGCCUACAUGUUUCCAUUCAAAAUCCAAAGCCACCAAGCUAUACAACAUUGGGCUCACUUUGUCAAACAGAUUCUCACUCUGGUUGACAGCUGAAGCACAUUUCCACUUGGAGUCGUGAAUAAACAAAACUGGCUAUUUCAUUGUUCUGAAAAUCCCACUUGCAUGAAGCAAAACUGCUGUAUUCUCCCAAAGUUACUGUUUGGGCUGUGGUAAGCAAACAAUCACUAGUGAAUGUUACACUGCAAUUUUGGAUUUCCACACAGCUAGCAUUGAAGGAUCAAUCAAGCACCAAGUGGUUCAUGCCAGGUGGGAACCACAUCGGAGUGAACAGGUGUUUUGCUUUCUUGAUAAAUUCUUUGAAAAUAGAGUCAUUGCAUUGGAUUAUUGCAAAUUUACUGGUUCAGGAAUGGAUUGGCCUUCAUUUUUACCUGAUCUGACUCCCUGUGACUACUUUUUGCAGGGCACAUUGAAAGACAUUGUCUACUGGAACCAUCCCACCACGCUGGAUGAGCUGGUAUUGGCAAUCUGUGUGGCUUCUGAAUCCAUUUCCAUUGAGAUACUACAAGAUGUGAUGGCAAACUGCAUUGUUCGUUUGCACCACCUGUGUACUUACUGCUAGUGAUAGGCAUUUUGAAAAGGUUGUGAUGCGGCUGGAAUGGCAGCUUACCGAGGACAAGUUUAAUUACGUUUGCUGGUACUAUUUGGGGUUAGCAGCUUUUCAAACUAUUUUAGAACUUCUGUAUAAAAUUCUUACAGUUUUCAGAGUAAACAUACCUUUUGUUGCUCUCGUCUAUCAAUCUUGAAAUCAGGGACUCAUCAGGUGGACUCCCUCCAUGUGCUGUAGUACGUAAAAUUAAUUGCUACAGAAAGUUCGUUCCACAUGUAGCAUUCAUAAGCAAACCACUUUCCAAACUAUUAUGCAAAGGCACAAAAUGGAUUUUGAACGACGAAUGCCAAAGUACAGUUGAUAAAUUAAAACAAUGUUUGUUAAAUGCCAAAUGUCUCAUGAUAUAUUGUCGAAAUAAAAUAUUAACUAUUGCAUCAGAUGCAUUUGAGUAUGGAAUCGGUGCAGUUUUGUCACAUUGUCAAAUGUCCAAGCAUGUUCAUGUCCAAAACAAUGGCAGUUGCUCAGAAACAUUACUUUCAGAUUGAAAAGGAAGUUCUUGAAGUUAUCUUUGCUGUUAACAAGUUCAUGAAUACAUAUACAGCUGAAGAUAAAUUCUCCUUGUGGACCACAAACCACUGGUGGCAACCUUUGGACCAAAUAAUACUGUUCCUUCCAGGACAGCCCAAAACUUACACAGUGGGAACUGCUUUUGCUAAACUAUGACUAUGAAGUAGUUUUCAUGUUCACAGCUCAACACACUAAUGAAGAUUUGCUACCCAGUUGCCUAGGGCAGGAUAAAAAUUUUGGAUUUUCUUCUGUUGUAUGUUUUGGAUUAAAUUCAAUCAUCAAGAAACUGUGAAAAUUUUUAACUGAAUUCUAAUUUAACUGCAAAGCUUGUACCAAGUAUCUAAUAUUAAACACUACAUUUAAUUGGAGUGGCCUUUAGAUAAAAAGUUGAUUGAAUAAUAGUUGAAUAACUAGAAAUUAAAUCACACUCACACAAGACGUGUUUUGACUGUCUACGUAGGUGUCAUUUUAGUACAUCCUGAAUUGCUUAAAUCCAAAGUGCUUCAAAUUCUCCUUAAAUGCCACUGAGGCUUAACCCAUAGCAAAUGCUUUUCCAGGGAUCAUUGCUUCUGGGAAGAUGUAGCUGAAGAUGUAGAAGUGAUGUCGACUAAAUACAACUCAUGACAAAAAUACCAGUCAGCUCCUCUAUAAUAUUUUCCAUGGCCACAGGCAUCAGAACCCUUGUAACAUUUACACAUUUAUUAUGCUACACCAUUUUUAGGAAGGUAAAAUACUUGCUGAUUGUCAUUGAUUACUUCUAGGAGUUAAAAUAUUUUGAGAAAUAAAUGGCACUUCAUAUUUCAAAACAUAUCAUUCCAUCGCUGUACAAUUUGUGCAGACAUUCAAGCCUCAAAAGUUCACUUGGCAGUACAAUAAGGAUACUGCAUUGUUAAUUUUUUCUUUCUCAGUACCUAACCACUCCAGUGAUACAAAAUCUCGAACUGAAAAUACUGCACUUUAUUGUCAACAUUAAAACUGCUCAGGCAUCAACAACUGUCGAGACAAAAGUGUUUCAAUGAUCAAGUACUCAUUACCAUGUGUAAAUAUGGAAACAAAUCUUGAGUAGCAGCCAAAGUAAUACAAUAGUUCGGGAAUAUUCCAUACAGAGUUCAGACUAAUAAUGGUGUCAAAAUGUGACACAGAAUCAAAUGAUGCUGCACAGUUUGCACACUCAUACAGACAGGACUCCUAGGCUGUUGUCUUUUUCAGGCCCAUGUGACUUUG